UUAUAAAUAUAUUACCAUAUAUAGUGAAUGUCUACUUUACCAUAUAUAAUGAAUGUCUACUUUACCAUAUAUAGUGAAUAUCUAUUUUACCAUAUAUAGUGAAUGUCUAUUUAUGAAAAAGUUAGAAAUUCUAAGAUUAGUUUUCCCCUAUAAAUAAAAGAGUUUUUAUUCAUUGUAAUUCACUCCUCAAGAAUUCCUCAUGAGGAAUAAAGAAG
rnacentral:lncRNA from 1 species